UAUAGAUGAUGCAUUCUUAAAUGGUCUACAGAGGUUUAAUAAUGGUGAAAUUAAUGUCACCGUUGGCGAUCUAUUCCCGAGGUUGACACAAUUGUCUUUUACCACUCGCCGUACUGUCUCUCCGGAAGUAGUUGAACGGUUGGCACAUUCCAACCUAGCAGUGUUGUCUAUUGAGCAUGGUAAGCAAUGCCGAUAUCAAGUUCCUCUCAUUGGAGAACCUGCUUCACUGGGGCGACUUUUCUCCAGCUCAUUCCCGAGACUCACCUGUUUGACCUUCCGAGAGCUAGUAAUGGGCAACAUACGCAGUGAAGCAAUAUUACGUAAUCUAAAGAACCACCUGCAUUUGAAAUCAAUAAGUAUCAUUAGCUGUUUCACGGAUGAUGAACUGGACCCCCUGGCUAAACAGAUAACUACUGAGAAGAGGAUGGAAAUAACAUGUCAACAUGACACGGCACAAAGGGCGUUAUCUUUUGGCGGCAAAGAAGGACCAUUAACGAUAGAUAUGAUAGAUGCACUUUGCCAUCGAACGUGUGUCCAUCACUUGGAAAUGUUUGAGAAUGGCGUAAAGAUUGAAGGAGAAGAAUGUUUUCCAGGUUUU